rnacentral:tRNA from 1 species
UCCCUGGUGGUUCAGUGGUUAGAACUCUGUGCUCCCAAUGCAGGGGGCACGGGUUCCAUCCCUGGUUAGGGAA